rnacentral:lncRNA from 1 species
CUUAGGACAGACACUUCGGGCCACAAAUGCUUCGGAGGGUCUACAGGGAGAAGGGAGGAAAGAGAAUUCGCUCAGUCACAAGUAAACUCUUAAUAGAACCUUAUCACUCACCCAGGGGAACUGAGAGCGGUAGGCCAGGGCUCUGGGAUGACCAUCGAUGAUUAAUUGUCUGUUAAGGCGCAAGCAGGGAAAAAACAAACAACACUGCCCGGGACGCCGAGAGCUAAGACCCACCGUCUCGCCGGCCAGCGAGCCGGUUGGCGGCGGGGUUACCCCGGGCUGGGGCGCCGGGACGGGGGUUUAAGGGGAGGGAGGCGCGCUCCACGCUCGGGGGCGGGUCCCGGCGGCCGCUCUCUCCGCCCCCGCAGUCGCCGCCACCUCCAGCCUGCGCCCCAGCGCAGCGGCUCAGACGCGGUCGCAUCCUCGUGGACGGUAGAGGCGGCAGCGAGCUAGAGUCAGCGUCGCAGCUCGCGGCCGCGGAGAGGCCAGGCGAGCCCGAGCGCCGGGACCCGGCCCAGGCUCGGCGGACACCUCUUUGCGCGGCUGGGUCAUGGUAUACUGAAAAGGCACUCAAUCAAGAGAAAUCUGGGGGGAGCUGGAAACCAUCAAGUUAUUGAGGCCACACAGGGGGCAGAAAAGAUAGAGGAGCUGCUGAUACUCUUUCACUAUCCCCAGAUGGAUGCUGUAAAAGGGCUGCCGUAACACGAUGCAACAGACUGGUAAUUUGCUGUUUCACAGUGUUGUCAGGACUGUGCUCCCUCCAAAGCCUCUAGGGGAAGAUCUUUCCUGAUCUCCUCCAGCCUCUGGCAGACCCAGGUAUUCCUUGGCUUGUAGACAUAUCACUCUAGUCUCUGCCUCCAUCUUCGUAUGACAUUCCUCCUGUGUCUCUAUGUCUUCACAUUUUCCC